rnacentral:rRNA from 1 species
ACUUACGGCCAUACCACCCUUUUUGCGCCCGAUCUCGGAAGUUAAGCAGGGUCGAGCCUGGUUAGUACGUGGAUAGGAGACCGCCUGGGAAUACCAGGUGCUGUAAGCA